rnacentral:lncRNA from 1 species
UCUUAGAGGCUUUCCUUUUGUUUCUUCCACAACCUCGCCCUCCUGUCCCCUGGCCUAAGACCUACUGACAUCAAGAAGCUUCAGGAAACCUCAUCCUAUAAAUCAAGUGGUGGCCUACUCAUAGCAAAGUCCUUACAGAUACCUUUAUUUAUUUAUUUAUUUAU